rnacentral:tRNA from 3 species
GCUGGAUUGGUAUAUUGGAUGUGCAAGGGUCUUCUAAGCCCUCUCAGGCUGGUUCGAUCCCAGCAUCCAGCA